rnacentral:rRNA from 1 species
CCUACGGGAGGCAGCAGUGAGGAAUAUUGGUCAAUGGACGAGAGUCUGAACCAGCCAAGUAGCGUGAAGGAUGACUGCCCUAUGGGUUGUAAACUUCUUUUAUAAGGGAAUAAAACGAGGCACGUGUGCCUUUUUGCAUGUACUUUAUGAAUAAGGAUCGGCUAACUCCGUGCCAGCAGCCGCGGUAAUACGGAGGAUCCGAGCGUUAUCCGGAUUUAUUGGGUUUAAAGGGAGCGUAGAUGGGUUGUUAAGUCAGUUGUGAAAGUUUGGGGCUCAACCGUAAAAUUGCAAUUGAUACUGGCAGUCUUGAGUACAGUUGAGGUAGGCGGAAUGCGUGGUGUAGCGGUGAAAUGCUUAGAUAUCACGAAGAACCCCGAUUGCGAAGGCAGCUUACUAAACUGUAACUGACAUUGAUGCUCGAAAGUGUGGGUAGCAAACAGGAUUAGAUACCCGAGUAGUC